GUAGGUGGCAAGCGUUGUCCGGAAUUAUUGGGCGUAAAGCGCGCGCAGGCGGUCCUUUAAGUCUGAUGUGAAAGCCCGCGGGCUCAACCGUGGAGGGUCAUUGGAAACUGGAGGACCUGAGUACAGAAGAGGAAAGCGGAAUUCCACGUGUAGCGGUGAAAUGCGUAGAGAUGUGGAGGGACACCAGUGGCGAAGGCGGCUUUCUGGUCUGUAACUGACGCUGAGGCGCGAAAGCGUGGGGAGCAAACAGGAUUAGAUACCCUGGUAGUCCACGCCGUAAACGAUGAGUGCUAAGUGUUAGGGGGUUUCCGCCCCUUAGUGCUGCAGCUAACGCAUUAAGCACUCCGCCUGGGGAGUACGGCCGCAAAGGCUG
rnacentral:rRNA from 1 species